rnacentral:piRNA from 1 species
UCCCUGCCUCGUAGGCUUAGAAAACUUACGUC